UACGUAGGGGGCAAGCGUUGUCCGGAAUCAUUGGGCGUAAAGCGCGUGUAGGCGGCCCGGUAAGUCCGCUGUGAAAGUCCAGGGCUCAACCCUGGAAUGCCGGUGGAUACUGUCGGGCUCGAGUCCGGAAGAGGCGAGUGGAAUUCCUGGUGUAGCGGUGAAAUGCGCAGAUAUCAGGAGGAACACCAAUUGCGAAGGCAGCUCGCUGGGACGUAACUGACGCUGAGGAGCGAAAGCGUGGGGAGCGAACAGG
rnacentral:rRNA from 1 species